GGAUAGCUCAGCCAGUACCACAUGAGACUCUUAAUUUCAGGGUCGUGGGUUCAAGCCCCACGUUGGGCA